rnacentral:rRNA from 1 species
UACGGAGGAUGCAAGCGUUAUCCGGAAUCACUGGGUUUAAAGGGUGCGUAGGCGGUGGCGUAAGUCAGUUGUGAAAUUCCCCGGCUUAACCGGCGGGACUGCGAUUGAUACUGCGUCACUUGAAUCAGGAUGAGGUAGGCGGAAUGUGACAUGUAGCGGUGAAAUGCUUAGAUAUGUCAUAGAACACCGAUUGCGAAGGCAGCUUGCUGGACCUGUAUUGACGCUGAGGCACGAAAGCGUGGGGAGCAAACAGG